rnacentral:rRNA from 1 species
AUGUGGAUUGUUUGUCGGAUGGAGUUCACAAUCUGGAAGGUUGUUGAGCUGUCAAGUCCAGUUGAUAUCUCAUCCAUGAAAAGGGCUCGUCCUGGUGUGACAAGCAUCUCAGCUGCACAACCAUGUCAGAGAAUGGCAUCUGGUAGGUUUCUUACUCAUAGGCUAUAUUUACCUGUAGUUACUCUCUUUUUUUGCCCUCCUGAUAUGCCUCUCAACAUAUUAUUGCCUACCAGUGUAUCGGCACAGAUAUCCAACCCCAAGACCUUCCAUAAUUAA